rnacentral:rRNA from 1 species
CCUACGGGAGGCAGCAGUGGGGAAUUUUGGACAAUGGGCGCAAGCCUGAUCCAGCAAUGCCGCGUGAGUGAAGAAGGCCUUCGGGCUGUAAAGCUCUUUUGUCAGGGAAGAAACGGCUGAGGUUAAUACCUUUGGCUAAUGACGGUACCUGAAGAAUAAGCACCGGCUAACUACGUGCCAGCAGCCGCGGUAAUACGUAGGGUGCAAGCGUUAAUCGGAAUUACUGGGCGUAAAGCGUGCGCAGGCGGUUUUGUAAGUCUGACGUGAAAUCCCCGGGCUCAACCUGGGAAUUGCGUUGGAGACUGCAAGGCUGGAGUCUGGCAGAGGGGGGUAGAAUUCCACGUGUAGCAGUGAAAUGCGUAGAGAUGUGGAGGAACACCGAUGGCGAAGGCAGCCCCCUGGGUCAAGACUGACGCUCAUGCACGAAAGCGUGGGGAGCAAACAGGAUUAGAUACCCUGGUAGUCCACGCCCUAAACGAUGUCUACUAGUUGUCGGGUCUUAAUUGACUUGGUAACGCAGCUAACGCGUGAAGUAGACCGCCUGGGGAUACGGUCGCAAGAUUAAAACUCAAAAGUAGUAGUAGGACGNGAGAGAGACGACGACGACGACGACGGAGGGAGGAG